rnacentral:rRNA from 1 species
UCAUGACAUAAAUAAUAGUUAAAUAUUACGAACCAUAGUUUAAAAUUUAAAGAUUUUGGCGGUGUCUUAUAAAACCAGGGGAACCUGUCUCAUAACUCGAUAAUCCACGAAUACUCAACCUUCUAUAGAUACUCAGCAUGUGUACUGCCGUUGUAAGUAUACCUUUAAAAGGAUAAGUAUACUACUAUGACUACCAGCUACCCCAUUUACAUCAGGUCAAAGUGCAGCUAAUAAGGAGGAGAUGAUGGGUUACAACCCCAAAACAGACUAUCAAACUAAGAAAUAAAAAAUCUUGUAAAAGUGGACUUGGCCGUAAUCAAUUUAUAAGAUAAAAAAAUGAAUACUUCCUAAGACAUGCACACAUCGCCCGUCACUCUACCCUAAAGGUU